CAAAUCAUUCAAAUCUAUAUUUUAUUGAAAGUAGUACAAAGUCAACAAAUUAAAUGAAACUAAGAAAUUUUAUUUUUGCAAAAAUGUUUGCCCACAUGGCAUGCACCCAUAUCCCAAGCCCCCGAUGACGGCCGCGAGAGCCAGCAGGAAGGCGGUGCCCAAUUCCCGAACACUACUGAGGGACACUAGUGACGGUGGGAGGAGGACAUCAGUCGCCAGAGUGAGGAUGAUGACAACGGGGGCCACAAGAGCCUCAAAGGCAGGAAACGAGCCCCAAAUUCAGCCACCCUGGCCCUGCCUCCUGUUCUGCAGCGAGGCCGCUUCACUACGCCUCAUGUUCGACCCAGACAGAGGAGCUAAGGAACGGGGGUGGUGAUUGAGAGGCAGUUCAACAUAGGAAGGGAGUGGGUAUGAGCAGCUUCUGUACAGGAAACCCCCACAGCAACCACAGGAAAGGCAGCAUAGCCCCGGGCCAAGAAGUAGGCGUGACAUUUUGUCUGCACCACUCCUUCAUUUGGUGAAUUUUGGAUACCUUUCAGUGGUCCAGGUCUCAACUGCGAAAGGCUGUGGCUCACCCUUGUGUUUGGAGUCACCUUUGUUUGGAAAGAUUCAUCAGCAACAUAAAGCCUUCCCCACAUAUUCCCCACAUAUUCCUACUGAGCUGCAUGGUAUUUCUUCCAGUUGGGGUUGGCAGCAAUCUAAUUUAAGUUUUUCAGCGUCCUCCAGGUUGUAUGCUUUCAUCACAAAGUCCCACCACAGCAGGUUGAGGGGUACCCACAAGAGUCUACUCAGAUUACGCCAGUUGUGUUGUUGUUUCUUCCGUUUUCUCUGCAUAUCCUUGUGACUUUAGAUAGAAAAACAUGAAACAAAGCCCCUAGACAAUACACGCACACCGGCUACCAGCAUACUCCUAGGACUCACUCUCAGUCCUUGUGGACAGGCCCACAUUCUCCACCAGUUGUGGUGUCAGCCUGGUGAGGGGCCGAGCCACACUGGCUGGGAAGCUAAGGAGAACACAAGGUACACACACACAUACACACACACACACACACAUACACACACUCACAUAGAGAGGCCAAACACAGGUGUAAAAUGGUAGUUUUAUUUAAACAAGAAAAUGAAACAGUGUAAAUUUAACUGAAAAUAGAACCUAUUAGGGCUCAUCUUACGCAGUCCACUCUUCACAACUCUCCAGCCAGGGUGAGCCUCUGGUGAAAGGUCCACCUUCAGUGUAGGUGCUUCAGGUGCUAAGACUUUUGUAAAGUAUUGUGUAAAAUUCUGAUUAUAUGUACGUUAUCUCACUGCAGACGGUUACAUGCAGCCUGGCUGAAGCGGACCUGCAAGGUUCUCAGAAAACGCAGCUGGAAGUUGUAGCUGAGCAGACAGUUGAAAUUCGUUCCUUGGGCAACAGUUCAGGAGGUUUUUCACCAUGUUCCUGGGCACAAAGAGAAACAGCCAAUAUGCUACCAAUCCAGCGCUUUACAAGAGACAUGGAUGGACUGUACACUGUAGUCUGUGGCAACUCAAACUAUUCUGUAAACAUCUCAGUCCAUGUAACUGCUCCAAAAAAGCGGCCAUCGAUUCCACAGCUAACAGUCUCUGAAGGAGAAGGACAUACUGUUAGUUUUAGAUGUGCUUCUGCAGGAAACCCUAAACCAAAAAUUACAUACAAGAAACAAACCCAGCAGUCAAGAUAUAAAAGAAGAGAAAAAUCUGGAUGAGGAGAUGGCUGUAAGCACACUUGAUGGUUUCAACUACCAGACCUCAAACACGAACUGUUGUGCCACAAACUCACAGGGAAAAGAAUGCGCCCUGAUUUACCAUUACGAACUUGGAAAGCCCAUGCGGGAGAGUGAAGCUCCACAGAUUUUACUGAAUCCUGGACAGUCACUCGCACUCCGAUGUAAAGCUAAUAAUAAAAAAACUCCUGUGGAGUGGUUCUUCAACAACACCAAGCUCAGUGGACUAAAAACAUUAUGGUAUGCUUCAGUGUUUAAGUAUUUCUCCAUUGAAUCAGUUAGUGAGCAUAACAGUGGAGAGUAUGUUUGCAAAAGUGAGGACGGGCAAUCAAAGGCUACGCAGGUACAGGUGCAAGAGGAGGAUUUAAUUGAGAUACUGGAGCUGAAUGAGAAUGUCAGAAUUUGGGAGAAAGAGAAAGCGACCUUCUGCCUCCAUGUCCAGGUGCUCGCUUACCCAAAACCACAGUGUGACUGGAUUACACCAAUUGGAACCAAAGUGCAGUCCGACGAAACUCAUGACAUCUGGAAUAAUCACACAUUUAAACUAUGCAAUCCAGAGCCAGGACAGUAUCAGAUACAACUGAGAGCUGAUAAGAAGUUAGUCACAAAGAAUCUGUCUCUCUGUGUGACAGAUACUCCUAAGUUUACUGUACUCCAAAAUCUACACGAAGUCACGUGCAUGACCAACAGCUCACUUCCCCAGGCCCUGUCCUGGAAGAUAUGUCCUUUACCUGCUAACUGUACAGACUCUGCAAUGUGGAAAGAGACAAGUGGCAAUCUACAGGAGUUCCCAGAUUCAGGCCAGUUCUGCCAGAAGAACAUUUUAUUCUUUAAAGCUUGCAGUGAAGUACACAACCACAAUGUCCAGUGCUGCCUCACUAACCUGGACGGCUCAUACUGCAGUGAGCCUAUUACAGUGAAAAGCUCCUGCUCAGACUCCUCGGACUCCUCGGCCAUGGUACUGAUACUGAUGUGCUGCGUGCUUAUCUUUGUCCUGCUGGUCAGCCUCACCCUAGUACAUUUCAUCCGGAAGAAAGUAAAGUCUCUCUUUCUCUGGCAAAGAAAUACUCUCCAUUGCACUAUGAAGAAUACUUACAGUUAUCCUUAUGUCUAACUUAGGUGGUAGGGCCAGUGCUUACCCUGCAUGCACACCAUGUUGCUACCUUCACCUGGUCACUGGUUGGCAUUUUUGAAGUGAGAGUAGGCAGGCCGGAUUUAAUUGGAUUAUUAUUGUCAUGGUCAUGAUUACAAAGUCUUAAGACACUUUCUUUUACCACACUGUGUUUUAAAAUUGAGCUCCCAGUAUAAAUAGGUUAGUAUAGUAUAGGUUUUAUACUGCACAGUAAACUCACCACUAUGAGCGAUUUUCCCCACAUUUUCACUUAAAUGCAAAUGAAACAAAUCUUCGACAGGUCAGUGCAGCAUUCUCUAUGGGAUGUGAGAACAUCCUCUCUGUCUCUGGCUCUCAUUCAAAAUCAGUUACUCCUGCCUGCCUUGCUGCUUUUGUUGCGGUAUAUGUGGUGUAUACACAACGGUUAGGCGGUCGAGCCUCUUGGGCUGGAAGGAAUUUUUAAUGAGCCACAUAGUCUAAAAUAUGAUGUAGUGCUUGUUUCACUCACUCGUUUAGUCCAGCAUGAGUGACAUAGUGGACUGGGAGCGGUUUACAGAGGAAUCAAACAUGCUCAUUAGAAUAUUAGAACUACACUCAGGGAGUUCUCAGAUAGGUCUGAUCAGUAUUUUUAAACAAUAUUUUAUUCUUCUUCUUUCGGCUGCUCCCUUUAGGGGUCGCCACAGGGGAUCAUCUGCCUCCAUCUUGCCCUAAUUAAACAAUAUUUUAUUAUAUAUGUUAAAAUUUUCAUUAAAACUUUGCAAAAUGUUUCAUCCAGCAGUCAAUAAUGUCAAAGAUUUUUCAUACAGACAUUGUGUUCCUUGAGACUUUAAAAUGGUCUGAAUAAAAAAUAUCUUUUUGUUAUUGCAUUUAUGUCUGAUAUCACAUUCUCCUCCAUUUUAGAGGGGCCAUUGCAGCUUCUGAGGAAAACCCUAAUCCGGAAAUUAUGUGGCAUAAAUCAGUCAGUCUGUCUAGGGUGUAUCCUGCCUUUCGCCCAAU